rnacentral:misc_RNA from 1 species
AAAAAAAAAAAAAAAAAUAAAAUAGAAAAAAAAAAAAAGAAAAAAAAUUAUUAGAUCUAGAGGGAAAUGGUGAAACUCGUGGGAUAUGUGAUAAUGGAGUAAAUAUUAUAGGUUUUAGACCAUGGCUACAAAGUUUCGUGAAAAUAUAUAUAUUAAAAAAAAAGCAUUGGCACUGUUAGUGACAAAGGAUUCAGCUUUAGUAUAUAUAUAUAAUGUUCCUAACUUUUUGACAAGAUAACUAAUGCUUAUUACUAAAACACCAUUAUUGUUUCAGCUAAUACAUACCAUGAAUUUAAUAAACUAGAUUGUAAAAUUACCAUCCAUUUCAUAUGUUGUAUGAUAAAUAAUUUGUUAAGUAGCAUACAAUAUCAUAUUAAACCUUUUAGAUAGAUGGAAACACUUUAUAAAGUUCAAUUUUCCUAAUCUUAUAUAGUACAGCAACAUCUAGGCAAGAUGACGCACAAUAGAAAACACUGGCAUUUAUAGUAUUAGUAUACGAACAAUUCCAUUGAAAUUCAAAAUUUAUUCACUACAUGAGCAAAAAAUUCAGAAGCAACUAGAAUGUUAAGAUAAGACAAGACAAUAUUAUAACUAGAAAAAUUGAAUAAAAAAAAAACCAAGACAAGCAGAAUUUUAAGAGAAUGUGAAUAUCCAAUUUCAUAUGAAUUUGGAGAAAGAAAUAGUCACUAAGAAUCAAAUAGUUAAACAAUUAAACUUACAGUAUUAUAAGUUUUACAUAUAUUUGAACAUAUAAAGCAUUCUACACAAACUCAAAAAUCCAGCACACAUGCAACAUUUUCAUAGUCAUUUAAAUUCAUCAAAAAGCCAAAAAUUAAAACUAAAAUAUCAAGAAAUCCUGCAGGCCAUGGCUACUUACCGAAUGGUGGCGAGAUAGGUAAUUUUCGAAGGCUAGUGAAGGUGAUUUGGUGAGGCCAAAAAUCCUUAAUCCACGCUCCACAAACGGUUCAAAACGAUACCCAUUUCAGCAACUACAAAUCUCAACAUUCAAAGUUCAAACAAGUGAAGAGAGAAGAGACUAGAGAAGAAAGAGAGGCUUAC